rnacentral:rRNA from 1 species
AUUGAACGCUGGCGGCAGGCCUAACACAUGCAAGUCGAACGAGUGGCGGACGGGUGAGUAAUGUCUGGGAAACUGCCCGAUGGAGGGGGAUAACUACUGGAAACGGUAGCUAAUACCGCAUACCAUCGGAUGUGCCCAUAUGGGAUUAGCUAGUAGGUGGGGUAACGGCUCACCUAGGCGACGAUCCCUAGCUGGUCUGAGAGGAUGACCAGCCACACGGGAACUGAGACACGGGCCAGACUCCGACGGGAGGCAGCAGUGGGGAAUAUUGCACAAUGGGCGCAAGCCUGAUGCAGCCAUGCCGCGUGUAUGAAGAAGGCCUUAGGGUUGUAAAGUACUUUCAGCGAGGAGGCGUUACUCGCAGAAGAAGCACCGGCUAACGCCGUGCCAGCAGCCGCGGUAAUUC